CUGAACUGGGAAGAGCCCAGCGCAUAACCUGGCGUCGUGACCCGGCGCCAGGGGUGUUGCGUUUCGGAGGGUCCGGCACGCAGUCUCUCACCGCCUAAGUUAUGCUUGAAAGCGGCCACUACCCAUGGAGGGUGACAGGCCCGUGUGGCGGCGCCCGCGAGGGUACACGAGAGAUUGUCGGAAAGGGCCUCUCCGUAGAGUCGGGUUGCUUGAAAAUGCAGCCCUAAGCAGGUGGUAAACUCCAUCUAAGGCUAAAUAUGACCACGAGACCGAUAGCGAAC
rnacentral:rRNA from 1 species